AAAAAAAAAAGAUCAAAUCGUAGGUAGUGAAAAUGUGCUGAUGCCUGAAAUAUGUGACUUCACUUGAGAAUGAAAAAUUUACUCCCUUUCCCAACUAUCUUUCCUUUUCUUGUCUUUCUCUUCAGAGGUAAGAUCUGAAAGACAAACAGUAAAAUACCUCACACACUAUUCAGAGAUGAAUACAGCACAGAAUUACAUGCUAGAAGUAGAUCUCUAAUAGCAUAUUCCCUCAUUGUUGAGAACCAUGCAACAACGUCACAAUAACUAAUGUUAGGCUAGAAAAAAAAUGAAGUUGAAAAGGAAGCUCACAGACUCACCUUCCUGUAUACGAGCCCUGUUACUGCAGUUUUCAAUCUCAGACCCAGAACAAGACACAUGUACAUAUAUCGUUGUUCAAAUAGAGUCUGGAGGCAAGCUAAAAGAACCAGAAUGAAGGCAUAGAAAUAACCAUGCCAGCUAGGGGCCUCUUGAUCUUCAAUGAACUCAAGGAAAAGGCUGCAAGACAGGAGCACAAUAUUGGUUAAUCUGUGUAGAACUGAUGCAGUGUCGGAAAUGAAAUUCCAGCGAUUUUUCUGUAUUCUCUAGCUGACCUUUGUCAGUAAAAUAGUAGAAGAGAUGGGAAAGCUGCUACGUUUCCUGUGUCUGCAAUAUCUCGUUUUUGACAUUUGACACUCUUGGUUUUGAAGUAAUCUCUGAUCUAUCUCAGAUGGCACCUGAAUUCUGUGAAUUUGUCAGAAACAUGCAAAUAAGAAGUGAGAAUCUGAGGAAGUCACUGAUUUCCACGUUUCCACAGCUGCUUCUAAUGACUGAGAAGUGUUUUUGCCUUUGAAAACAAAUUGCAGUGCAGGUUUGUGUUGUACCAACAUAAUCCACAAAGUGUAACGAUCCACUAACUAAAGAUGCUACUGAAGAUGUGUAGGAUGCUCAGCUGUAUGCUUUAUGAUUAGUAAAGGAACAUAGAGCCAUGAGUCUACUGCAAAUUGCUGACAGCCUGUGCAAUGCAUGCAGUACACAGAACCACCAAAUAAUGCUUACUCUGGUUCUUGCAAAGUUGCCACAAAGCUCAGGGCAACUGGUCCUUUCCACAUAGCGGUAAAGAAAUGUACACAGCUGUAGAAAGUGACAGAGGUGACUGUGGGCUUAGAAUGAAUGGUAAUCCUGCUCCUUUCAACAGCAAUCAGAGAUUGCAGAAGCUAAAAGUCUGUUUAUCUACUUCUGUGAGUGCUGACAUAUAUUUCUCUGGGUGAGCUCAUGCAUGCAGCAGUCUUAUGAUACAUGUGGUGUUUCUUUGGGAAAUAAAUUCCAAAUAGGCACAUACCUCAGUAUCUUUGGGAUGGAGAACAAGAAUGCAUCACAUAUAACUAAGCAAAGGGUGCUGAGCAGGAAAUAGAUUCCAAACAUGCUCCAAAAUGCUUGCAGCAACGGCCCACUCUGACUGUGCUCUGACUGCAGUAGAACCUCUGUCUCUUCAGCUUCUCCAAUGUCAGUUUCAUUCUGACUCUUUUUAAAAGUAGCAGACUCCAUUUUUCUAAAGAAAGAAAUAGUGGAAAAGCUAACUGUAACUGAAAAAAAUUGCAUCUUGUGUUUUCAAAAAGUCAUGAAAUAGCUCAGGCUGGAUCUUGUGCCCUGUCCAGUAUAAAUACAGGUCAAAAAAUGAUCCCUCUCAUCAGAACCAAGCUUCUAGGAAUUAAGAGUUGUUGUUCAGCAUAUUUCAUCACUUAGGUGUUGCACAAAAAUACUUUCACUGUUUACCCACUGAACAGAGGAGACUCCCAUGUUUUUCUAACAGACAGUCAACAUAAAAUCUGAGUAACUAUAUUUUCUUCUUGUUUAAUAGCCAGAUAAUUCAGUAGGAUUGAAUCUUUCAAAUCUUCCUUUGUCUAGAUGGACAGGAUGCUUCCAUCUGUGUUGGAAGCACCAGCAAAGCUCACACUGAGAGCCUGAAUAUGUACUGAAGCUGUCUGGAUACUGCGGUGAAUGUUUCGUACCUGGAGAUGUUCAAGUUCAGGCUGGACUGGGCUCUGUGCAACCUGAUCUAACUGGAGAUGCCCCUUUUUGUUCCAGGGGAGUUGGAAUAAAUGACCUUUAAAGGUCCCUUUCAACUAAAAUGAUUCUAUGAUUUUGAUGUCUGUCCCUUUGUGGGGAGUGGAGGAGAUUCAAGUCUGUUCAGAGAUGGCAUACCAGUCCCUGCAGGCAUAUUUGUUGGUAGCAUCUAAAGGAGAGAGAAAUGCCAGCUGCAUCCAUGACACACUCUAGAUUAAGUACUCACUGCUUCCUUUUGUUGUUAUACUUCUUCCACUCCCUCUCAGCCCAGGAAACAAUUUCUUCAGAGGAGUCCUCUUUCCUCACUGACCACAGGUCAUCCACCCCCAAAGACUGCCGACAGCCUUUCCAGACAAGCCUGGAAAACACAGACAGCCAAUAAAGAACCACCAGUAUGUGAUUUUGGACAGAAAAGAGCUGCUGGCUUCUGGACAUUGAUUCUGAUGGGAAGAAAAACAUGGAUGAUAUUUAUAUGGAGAAAAGGGAACGUGUCAUAUGAUAUCCCUCCUGCACUUUUCCAAGAAAAACAAGCAAAAGGCUACCCAGCCCCCACUCCUUGCCUGUGGCAAUGUAUUGUGAGGGAUCUAUGGGACUUUGGAGAAUUAGACUUCAAAUAAUGUCUCAGAAUACCAUCCUGCAUAUCCAACGAUAUUCACUUUCUGAAGCACUUAGUUCUGCCAUACAUGUACCACAGAUAGAGGAAUGUACUGGUUUACUGAAGACCAGGCAGAAGCAAAAUAAGCUCUAUAUGCUGAUUUCAAUGAAAAGAAGCAAGAGUGUGGAGAGGUCACUAGUUUUUCAAAACACACAAAAGAUGGAGUUGUUAUCCCCAGUUCUGCUGGUUACCUUUUAAUACCAUUGGCCUUUAUACAGAAUGAUGUAUUUUGCACCUCUCAGAUAAUCACGUUCCUGUGUAUCCCCAGAAGUUUAAACUUGCUUGAGCAACGAAGCAAAGCAUUAUGAAAAGCUACAUUAUACUUACAGAACUGUUGACAGCUUUAGUGAAGAAAGGAGGGUGAUCCACUAAGCAGAAUAACACAAGUUCACCAAGCACCAGGCUAGCAUAAAGGCCAUGUUGGAUUUUGGAACUAAACAUCACAAGUGCAGACAAGAAUGUGAGCAGCCAGUAAAUCAACAUGAUGCCUGAAGACUGGAUGCCCAUCAUUCUUUCUGCUUGGGUAAGGAACAUGGCAAGGAUCUGUGAGGAAGCAGAAAUACCUCCAGGUAAAUAGCUGGUAGUGAAAUGCCAAACAUUACUAUCAAGUUAAUGGACACAAUAAAGCAAAAUCAGUUUCUUGUCCAAACAUUUCAAGGUACUUAGAGCUGAACUAUUGUAAGGCUAAAACUGAAUGUAUUACGAGCAGUUUGUGCUGCAGAAUGUCAUUACUGAAAGAGCAAGUAAUAAAACCACAACUGGGCCAACAGGCUGGAAGGCUCUAGGCUGUGAAGGUGCCGUAACUGAAGGGGAGGCAUUUAGUCAAAA